CAGCAGGAAAAUAAAAAAAAUCUGGCUUUUCUCUCUGUUCUUCAAAAAACCCGAUGUUCCCCUCCCCUUUUUGAGUCCGGCCACGGCGCCGGUGAACUCGCGAAGGCUUCGCCGUAGCCUCACCGCGGCUUCGCCGUGCCGGAAAAUAGAAUGAAAAAUAAAUCUCCCUCCUUUUAGCCCGUUUCCCCUUUAGCGCGGCCCUAGCAAAACCCCAAAGGUUUUUUAUGGCCUCGGCGCAUGGAGAGGAACACCGACGGUGGCGCGUCGCUAGCAAAAGGUGACGGCGCAAGUGGGAUGAGCAAGUGGGCGACGGUGACGUGCGGCGACGGCAGUGGCCAGGGCUAGGUGCGGCGCCUAGAUGCGGCGCUAGGGUUUCUUUUCUGAAACCUUAGCUUGACUUUGGUGAAGUUGGGCUUGUUGGGUUGGGUUAGUUGGACUGGUGGGUUAAUUGGGUAGUUGGGUAGAUUUUAGAUGGGUUUGUAAUGGGCCGGGCAAAACGGGCUUGUACAGUUAUAAUAGAACAUUUUGAGUAUUUCAAUUAUCGGUCCCCAAUAAACUAUUUUCAGAGCUUGGUUCGGAUUCCGCAAUCGACGCAUUCAGGGAUGGUGAUAAUGAAUUUUGAUAUCGAUAGAAUCACAUAUUUCAAAUUGUAGCAGUUUUGGAUAAAGCGAAGUGUUUAAAGCAAGGUUGGUCGCAAUGGAUGACAAUCAAGUGGAGGGAGUUGAUUUCCUUGACGUUUUCUCUCCUAUUGUGAAACACAUGUCUAUUCGUGGAUCAUUGGCCCUUGUUUCAUUAUACAACCUUAAUUUGAAGACUACGAGUCUUUUGAUUUCCAAGUUUGAGAAUGAUUUGUGGGGGUGUACCUCGCAUUUAUCAGACAAUUUGCAGGCACUUAACAAAGACAUGCGAGAUAGACACAACGUUAUGAUGUGAAGGACACCGAUGUCGUGAUGAGGGGCGACGACACAACGAGGGACGUUGUGAUGACGCAACGAGUUCUCCAAUUGACAGAGAGGGCGACAUUGUGAUGAGCAAGCACGGGACAUCACAACAGCACGACGUAUUAUUCCUCAAGUAAUACAGUCGCGUUUUGACAACCAAGCAGGACUUCUUCUCCCAAUCGAACUUUGAUUACUUGAGGGAUAUUUUAGUUGUUUUAUCCCUUUAAACUUAACCUAUUUAAAGGGGCUUUGUAUCCCUAUUUCGAUGAGGCAAUUGAAGAUGUAGUACUAUAGGGGCUUUUCUUUAGGGGCGACAAGAUGUAGUCGCAAAUGAUUUUUAGUAAGAGUUUUUGUGGUAACUAUAGAAAGAAUUUUGUAUGCUUUUUGAGAGAACUCUAUGAGAAUUAAGAUUUUGUUUUCUAA